GAUGAACGCUAGCUACAGGCUUAACACAUGCAAGUCGAGGGGUAGCAGGGUAGCAAUACCGCUGACGACCGGCGCACGGGUGAGUAACACGUAUCCAACCUUCCCAUAACUCGGGGAUAGCCUUUCGAAAGAAAGAUUAAUACCCGAUAGUACUUUUUUGAGGCAUCUUAAGAAAGUUAAAGAUUUAUUGGUUAUGGAUGGGGAUGCGUUCCAUUAGAUUGUUGGUGAGGUAACGGCUCACCAAGUCUUCGAUGGAUAGGGGUUCUGAGAGGAAGGUCCCCCACAUUGGUACUGAGACACGGACCAAACUCCUACGGGAGGCAGCAGUGAGGAAUAUUGGUCAAUGGGCGAGAGCCUGAACCAGCCAAGUAGCGUGAAGGAUGAAGGUCCUAUGGAUUGUAAACUUCUUUUAUAGUAGAAUAAAGUGAUCCACGUGUGGAUUUUUGUAUAUAUACUAUGAAUAAGGAUCGGCUAACUCCGUG
rnacentral:rRNA from 1 species